CACGCUAUUUGCCAAUGUGUAGUUUCAGUCUAAAUUCUGACAAUAAAAUGUAUGGAUAUAUAUCUAUAUAUCUCAUCUUGAUUUUCAAAAGUAGCCAAAGGGAGUUCUUCAGAGCUUAGCGUUGCCUGGCUGAAGCUGAAGAUUUUGUAACUUCAUAGCGAGACCCAUGUUGCCAGUGAUUUUCAAUUUGCCUUGAAAGAAGGCCGACUGAGGAUUCAUUUUACCAGUCAUUAAAGCCAGGAAGUCUGAGUCAGCCAUUGUGAUUGUGCAGUCAGCCUUCUUAUCUGAGUUAGGAAGCACUGAUCCUUUGCCAUUCUUCACAUCCACCACCCAGGUGGCCUCUUUACCCCCAGGGCCAUCUUUCACCUUGAAGGCAAAAAUACCACCGAUUUUCUUCACAAACUGUUCCCCUUCCUCUUCAAGUUUCUUCUCAAUCUCCUUAAAAACAAGAUUUGCCUUAAAUCCAUCACUUGCAGAGCUGGUUGGAACAGCUUCAAUUUGAUGAGUUCUAAAAGAACUGGCGGCUUCCGGAAAACCCAUCUUGUAGAGUGUUACAACCACAGCUCC
rnacentral:lncRNA from 1 species